rnacentral:rRNA from 1 species
GACGAACGCUGGCGGCGUGCUUAACACAUGCAAGUCGAACGGUGAACCUCUUCGGAGGGGAUCAGUGGCGAACGGGUGAGUAACACGUGGGCAACCUGCCCCCGGCUCUGGGAUAACUCCAAGAAAUUGGGGCUAAUACCGGAUGUUCACCGCUUCCCGCAUGGGUGGAGGUGGAAAGGGUUUCCGGCUGGGGAUGGGCCCGCGGCCUAUCAGCUUGUUGGUGGGGUAGUGGCCUACCAAGGCGACGACGGGUAGCCGGCCUGAGAGGGUGACCGGCCACACUGGGACUGAGACACGGCCCAGACUCCUACGGGAGGCAGCAGUGGGGAAUAUUGCGCAAUGGGCGGAAGCCUGACGCAGCGACGCCGCGUGGGGGAUGACGGCCUUCGGGUUGUAAACCUCUUUCAGCAGGGACGAAGCGCAAGUGACGGUACCUGCAGAAGAAGCACCGGCCAACUACGUG